CUGUGGCCCUGGCUACAGCAGCACAGCGUGUAAUCUGGAUGUCACGUCAGGUGAACGAUCUUAUCUGGCCUGAAGUCCUAUGGCGGCAAUGCACGACCGCAUUGGGGAGGCUGAGGUUCAGGGCAAGAGCCUUUAUGGAAAGGGCAGUAACAGGCACAAGAAGGACCCAGUGAAGGAUGGAUUGGAUCCAGUUCAUCUGAAUGCUGUAAUUGGUUACAUCUUCCAGCAAGUUCAGGACGACAAAUGUGCAGCUCAAAAGCAGCCUGUCCUCCAUGCUAAGCAGGGAGAUUAAGUAGCCUGGAAAGCAGGUGGUCCUGUAAAUAC
rnacentral:lncRNA from 1 species